UAUAAAUGGAAGUAUUUAAAAUACAUAAUUUGGUGAAAUAAGCAGUGGGAACUCUCCUUGAUGCUCUCAGUUAGGACAAUUAGCCAGACUGCCAUUGUUUUGUGAGAUACAUAAUAGAACUUCAUUCAACAGGCUCAUCAAUGAAAAGUACGCUGAUCCCUCUAAUGAGGAAAGUUAUAGCCUUGAACGAGGACCGUGUAUUGAUGGACUUUGUUUGCUUGGGAAAAGCAUUAUAUAUUUAAAACCUCUCUGCCUUUUCUUUGUGCUUUCUCUUGCGG